rnacentral:rRNA from 1 species
CUACGGGCUGUUCCAGUGGGGAAUAUUGCACAAUGGAGGAAACUCUGAUGCAGCAACGCCGCGUGGAGGAUGACACUUUUCGGAGCGUAAACUCCUUUUAUAUAGGAAGAAGAUGACGGUACUAUAUGAAUAAGCGCCGGCUAACUCCGUGCCAGCAGCCGCGGUAAUACGGAGGGCGCAAGCGUUACUCGGAAUCACUGGGCGUAAAGAGCGUGUAGGCGGAUUAAAAAGUCAGAAGUGAAAUCCUAUAGCUUAACUAUAGAACUGCUUCUGAAACUCUUAAUCUAGAAUAUGGGAGAGGUAGAUGGAAUUUCUGGUGUAGGGGUAAAAUCCGUAGAGAUCAGAAGGAAUACCGAUUGCGAAGGCGAUCUACUAGAACAUUAUUGACGCUGAGACGCGAAAGCGUGGGGAGCAAACAGGAUUAGAUACCCCAGUAGUC